GGCUGCGAUCAUACCAGCACUAAUGCAUCGGAUCCCAUCAAAACUCCGCAGUUAAGCGUGUUUGGGCGAGAGUACUUCUAGGAUGGGUGACCUCCUGGGAAGUCCUCGUGUUGCACCCC
rfam:Corchorus olitorius cultivar O-4 contig11956, whole genome shotgun sequence.